UACAGGGGGGGGCAAGCGUUGUUCGGAAUUACUGGGCGUAAAGGGCCAGUAGGCGGCCAACUAAGUCCGACGUGAAAUCCCCAGGCUUAACCUGGGAACUGCGUCGGAUACUGGAUGGCUUGAGAUUGGGAGAGGGAUGCGGAAUUCCAGGUGUAGCGGUGAAAUGCGUAGAUAUCUGGAGGAACACCGGUGGCGAAGGCGGCAUCCUGGACCAACACUGACGCUCAGGCACGAAAGCGUGGGGAGCAAACAGG
rnacentral:rRNA from 1 species